UACGUAGGGCGCAAGCGUUGUCCGGAAUUAUUGGGCGUAAAGAGCUUGUAGGCGGUCUGUCGCGUCUGCUGUGAAAAUCCGGGGCUCAACCCCGGACUUGCAGUGGGUACGGGCAGACUAGAGUGUGGUAGGGGAGACUGGAAAUUCCUGGUGUAGCGGUGAAAUGCGCAGAUAUCAGGAGGAACACCGGUGGCGAAGGCGGGUCUCUGGGCCGAUACUGA
rnacentral:rRNA from 1 species